GAAAGAAAUUCAACAAGAGGGGACACUCGGCAAAAACUGGCAACAGGAAACACGUCACCAUACGUCACGCUAUACUUUUGACACCGAACGUUAGCUGCCGCGAGCAUCGAAAAAAAAAAAAGAAAGUGAACUUAAGUUAACAGGCAUUGAUUUAUUUUUUUAAUUCUUUGCCGCGAAAACUAAAACGUUUUGCGUAUAAAUGAACUCAAGCUUUGCGACUUAUGUUCCUUGCCUUACCUAGCCACAGGUCAAUGACGCGCCAGUACAUGCGUCAUCCGCCAGACACUCCCCCGAAGCCAGCGAGGAUGGCUGCGAGCGCGUUUGAGCGCUCGCGCGCGGCGACCCGUCUAUCUCCUUCUUUUUUUCUUUUUUAAAUGUAACCUGGUUUAUUGGGCUCUCGGUGUAUUCUGGCGUUCCUUCUGCACUGGGACAAGACACCACUGCACUAUUGGACUACGGCAAGCUGGUGCCGUCCGGUGGAGCUUCAUACAGGAACUACUGCCUUACCUGCUGGUGUCACAACGUUGGAUGAACGCACAAAAAGCGCGGAACGAGCUUUUAUAUAGAGCAAAAUAAAUAUUUCCUCAUUGCACAAAA